rnacentral:tRNA from 1 species
CCAGUGGUAGUUCAAUGAUAGAAUGCUUGCCUUCCAUGUGAGAGAUCUGGGUUCAAUUCCCGGCAUUGCA